rnacentral:rRNA from 1 species
UACGUAGGUGGCAAGCGUUGUCCGGAAUUACUGGGUGUAAAGGGCGAGUAGGCGGGAGUAGAAGUCAUGUGUGAAAUACCGUGAAAAGAGCACGGCAAUGCAUGUGAAACUAGACUUCUUGAGUGCUGGAGAGGAAAGCGGAAUUCCUAGUGUAGCGGUGAAAUGCGUAGAUAUUAGGAGGAACACCAGUGGCGAAGGCGGCUUUCUGGACAGUAACUGACGCUGAGGCGCGAAAGCGUGGGGAGCAAAC